rnacentral:tRNA from 1 species
UCCCUGAUAGCUCAGUUGGUAAAGAAUCUGUCUGCAAUGCAGGAGACCUAGGUUUGAUCCCUGGGUUGGGAA